AUUGAACGCUGGCGGCAGGCCUAACACAUGCAAGUCGAGCGGAUGAAGGGAGCUUGCUCCUGGCUUCAGCGGCGGACGGGUGAGUAAUGCCCAGGAAUCUGCCCUGUAGUGGGGGAUGACGUCCGGAAACGGGCGCUAAUCUCGCACACGUCCUGAGGGAGAAAGUGGGGGAUCUUCGGACCUCACGCUAUCAGAUGAGCCUAGGUCGGAUUAGCUAGUUGGUGGGGUAAAGGCCUACCAAGGCGACGAUCCGUAACUGGUCUGAGAGGAUGAUCAGUCACACUGGAACUGAGACACGGUCCAGACUCCUACGGGAGGCAGCAGUGGGGAAUAUUGGACAAUGGGCGAAAGCCUGAUCCAGCCAUGCCGCGUGUGUGAAGAAGGUCUUCGGAUUGUAAAGCACUUUAAGUUGGGAGGAAGGGCAGUAAGUUAAUACCUUGCUGUUUUGACGUUACCAACAGAAUAAGCACCGGCUAACUUCGUG
rnacentral:rRNA from 1 species